rnacentral:rRNA from 1 species
CAGCCGCCACGGUAAUACGUAGGUGGCAAGCGUUGUCCGGAAUUAUUGGGCGUAAAGGGCUCGCGGGCGGUUUCUUAAGUCUGAUGUGAAAGCCCCCGGCUCAACCGGGGAGGGUCAUUGGAAACUGGGAAACUUGAGUGCAGAAGAGGAGAGUGGAAUUCCACGUGUAGCGGUGAAAUGCGUAGAGAUGUGGAGGAACACCAGUGGCGAAGGCGACUCUCUGGUCUGUAACUGACGCUGAGGAGCGAAAGCGUGGGGAGCGAACAGGAUUAGAUACCCGGGUAGUCCCUGUCUCUUAUAC